rnacentral:lncRNA from 1 species
ACCCUGCCAGCCUCCCUGCUGCAGCCGGCAGCACGUCACUCCAUGCGGGAGGGGAGCCCCACCUAAGGUUCUUGGCCAUAAAAUAUGGCUUUUGGAAAAAUAAAGCUGAGACUUGGAGUUCACGGUGGGGGCUCCCCCAUCUGUGAACAGAAGCAGAAGUUUGGAACUGCCUUCUUUACUGCUCGAGAGGGAAAACUUGAGUGAAAACCAGGAUGCUGGCGAAUGUUGAGUAGCUAAGCUGCACAGGAAAUACCACUUGAUGACCUGCGAUCUGGGGAAGCCGCGCCAGGGCUCUGCGAAGCUGCGGACGAGGGAGGCGUCAGUGUGGGGGCUGCAGCUCAGCUCCGGGGGGGACGCGCCUUUCUCCACGGGACCUGGGGCUCAGGUGCUCACGAGGCUGGGGCGCUGCAGGCCACCCGCAGGGGAAACUGAGGCCCUCCAUUUUGUGGGGCUGGAAGACCUUUCCUUCCAAAAGCAGGUGUAGGCGGGAGCACCUGUGCAGUCCCUCUGUUCAGAUCCUCACCCACUUUUAAAUCAGAUGCAGCUCAGGUGUGCCUUUUCUUCGCCUGUGCCCAUCCACCUGAGAUGGACCAUAACCAUAAAAGUCAGAAGGCACUGACCCUUCAGGACGUGACAGGGUUAAAAGAUGCUGGAGGGAAAGUCUGUCAUUGACUUUUAUUCACUUCCUUUCUCCAUUCUGCCAUUUGGAAGAAGGAAGUUGGGGAUGAGAGAGGGGAAGGAGUAGCAUCUUGUUCCGUCGGCCUCCUUGAUCUAAGCCUUUGUUGUGAAUUCGUUUUUACCACAUUUAAAGUGUGAUGCCCAGAAUGGAACUCGGGGCUGCUGGCACCCCCAUCCAUCUUUGGAGGCCCUGGACAUAAUCGAUGGGGCAGGCAGAAGACCUGCAGCUCCAAGCCUGCUAGUCGGUGAGCCUGGAAUUGCUAUGCUCUUAGGAUCAUGUGUUCCCACUGUGAAUGCUUUUGGCGGCUUUUCCCACUGGCCACUUGGUCAUAUCCAUACCCAGACUGAACCAGCUCUGACCCCAGGCCCUCCCCACCAUGCCCAUCCUACCAGGGUGCCCCCGGCUGAGGCUGCCUCUUGAGGCCACACCCUCCACCUGUAUAACCCCAGCUUUGGAGCCUGCGGAUCCUGCCUGAGCUGCUCUCACCCUUUGGAAACCAAGGAUUGAGCAUUGUUCCCUGAGUGUAUUUCUGGUUAUGACUUUCUCUUUUCUCCACAGAAAGGCAUCUCUCUGCAGGUAUUGGGUUUUCUCUGAGCUCAGCUGCUGCUCUUGGCCUUCUUUCUCCAGUUUCUGUCCUCCUCUACCAGCCUUGAGACUGCAGUGUGGAGAUAUGUCGCCUCUGUUUUGUCUGGGCUGCUUCUGUCUGGGAUGAUGGAAUCCUCACUAAAUGGGAAAUGUUUAUGGAGGAGGAGGGAGAUGGGGAAGUCAUUCCCUCCUGUUAACAUUUCGGCUUAAGUUAGCUUAUUCAUAUGAAUGACACAAAGUCGUAAUUGCUCCUAAUCAAAUCUGUGCACACAGUAAAGCCUCUUUUAUGCAAUGAGUGUUUACUUAAUUGAAUGUUACAUAUAAAUGAAGGUUACUCCUUCAAGUGACAAACGUGAGGGAUUUCAAUGGAAAAUUCUGAAAAUGAGCCCCUGAAGGAGGGAAGAUGGGAGAUGAAAGAUGCUGGAAGAGAACAGAAUGGGGCCAAGACGCUCCAGGAGAGCACCGGGGGAAUCCCAGUUGCUCUUGGGUUUCACUUCCAAGGGCAAAACGAUGAUGACAAAUUGCUUUCUGAGAAUCCAUCCCUCUUGCAGGGACUUUCAGCCAGAGACUUGUCCAUAAUGGGCUCUGCAUCAUGUCAGAGCCCUAAACCAUAAUUAAACACCAUUGCAUUUAUUAGAGUCCUCAUGAUGUUACCUUAGAUUCUUCCCCACAAGGGCAAACCCCCUAGUGUUGAUGUCAAUGUUCUAUGGGAUUCUCCUGGUGUUAGAUGAUUACAGUAUCACGGAAACGUGAGGCUGCAUCUGCUAAGUAACGUUUCACUCCUGUGUAUCACAGAGGUUCUUCUCUAAGCCCCACCCACAGGAGAGCCAGACCUCUGCAUCACAGAUCACAUGGAGAAACUGAAACAAAUGCUGACUCUCGGGAGGUGAUGAUAGGACUCGUUUCCUUAUCAUUUUUUCAGAGCCCCAGAAGUUUACAAUGAUAAAAACAAGAGCAUUUCAUGAAACAGCAUGCAAAAGCCCAUGCAUGCUGUCUAUUUUUAUAUAAAUCAGCAGAAGAUAAAGAGCUUGUCUUGAUUCAUGCUGUUCCUCCAGGGAAUGUUUUGCAAAAAGGCAAAAAAAAAAAAAAAUCAGGGAGAAGAGCGAAGCCUAUAAAUACAAU